UUGAAGUUAUAGUGCAAAACAACUCUUUGAAGACCAAUUAUUCCGUUGUAGAACAAAGUACUUACUUGAAUAGUCAUUUAUUUUUAAAAAAGAAAGAAAUGAUCCAAGUGUUAGAUAUUUCGGUAAUAUUAAAUGGAUCCAGGUCUAAAUCGUGAAUGAAGUCACUUUCCUUAAAAGUAUUCCAAGCACUCUUUUUGUUGUCUUAGAGUUGGAAAGUAAGAA
rnacentral:lncRNA from 1 species